AGCUGGAUUAUGUGGAACGACGUAUGAGCCAAAAAAUAGUUAAAAAUCAAGAUCAGUCAUCAUACUCCAACCAGAUUUCAAGAAAACUGUCUCCUAUGAGCAGCGGUUAUUAAAGUGUUGGUCAAGUCUCUUAAUUUUACUUUAUUUAUUUAUUUUGACUCCUGAGCCUCGUUUGACAGAGAUGGGAGAUAUUUGAGUGGUUGCGAGCAUUAGCUAUCUAUCUAUCUAUCAAACAUCAGUUUUCUAUGCACUGCAUGCAACUUCAUCUAGCGAACAAUUUUGCACUUAAACUGAAGAAAACCAACACAGUAUUCUUCAGUUUAACGAUCACCAAUUUUUAUUCUAAUUUCUUAAACCUUAAAAAGUUCAUAUCAAUUUUUCAACUUUAUACUUAAUUUCUACUUAGAACCUUUCAAAACAGUGCCAAAAUUGUGCUAAGUCAAGUUUAACAAUUAUCUCUUAAAGAAAUGAUUGUACAGAUUGUGUAAAUUACAACCACCGUGGCUCACGUAAACCAGUAAUUUGUUCUAACUUUAUAAAUAUCUUUCAAUGUUUUUACAACACUAUUUAUGUAUGUUUGUAUAGUAUCAAGAACGAAAAACAAAAAGAAAAAUCUAAAAAAUGUUCAAAUAUCUUUUUGUCUUUCAUAAUUGUGUACAUUUUGAGAACCUGUAAAUAAGCACCGCUCUCAAAAUCUAAAAGUUAUGCUAACAUAUUAUCCAGGGCCGACGAAGACGACUGAAAAAAAA